GCUCGGGUGCGAAACUGGUAAACAGGCAUGACUAAGAAUCAUGUGCUCCUUGAGAGCUUGCGGGUUCAAAUCCCGCCCCGAGUA
rnacentral:tRNA from 1 species